UACAGAGGUCUCAAGCGUUGUUCGGAUUCAUUGGGCGUAAAGGGCGCGUAGGCGGCAUGGCAAGUCAGGAGUGAAAGGCCUGGGCUCAACCGAGGAACUGCUUUUGAUACUGCCAAGCUAGAGUGCGGAAGGGGCAACUGGAAUUCCCAGUGUAGCGGUGAAAUGCGUAGAUAUUGGGAAGAACACCUGAGGCGAAGGCGGGUUGCUGGGCCGACACUGACGCUGAGGCGCGAAAGCCAGGGGAGCAAACGGG
rnacentral:rRNA from 1 species